GGCCCGUUCGUCUAGAGGCCUAGGAUACAUGGUUCUCAUCCAUGCGACACGGGUUCAAAUCCCGUACGGGCUACCA
rnacentral:tRNA from 1 species